CAUGAGUUUACAAAGUGGUCGAGCCUUGAUUAAAAAACUAUUGUUAUACGUGCGUUUUGUGAAAACAUAUGAGAUAAUGUUCA
rnacentral:sRNA from 18 species